rnacentral:rRNA from 1 species
UACGAAGGGGGCUAGCGUUGCUCGGAAUCACUGGGCGUAAAGCGCACGUAGGCGGCUUUCUAAGUCAGGGUGAAAUCCUGGAGCUCAACUCCAGAACUGCCUUUGAUACUGGAGAGCUAGAGUCCGGAAGAGGUGAGUGGAACUGCGAGUGUAGAGGUGAAAUUCGUAGAUAUUCGCAAGAACACCAGUGGCGAAGGCGGCUCACUGGCCCGAUACUGACGCUGAGGCACGGAAAGCGUGGGGAGCAAACAGG